rnacentral:rRNA from 1 species
UACGGAGGGUGCAAGCGUUAAUCGGAAUUACUGGGCGUAAAGCGCACGCAGGUGGCUGAGUCAGUCGAUUGUGAAAGCCCUGGGCUUAACCUGGGAAUUGCAGUCGAUACUACUCAGCUAGAGUAUGGGAGAGGGUAGUGGAAUUCCCGGUGGUAGUGGUGAAAUGCGUAGAUAUCGGGAGGAACACCAGUGGCGAAGGCGACUUCCUGGCCUGUUCUUGACGCUGAGGCGCGAAAGCUAGGGGAGCAAACGGGG